rnacentral:lncRNA from 1 species
UAGCUAUUUCCGUGUCAUGCUAUUCUAGACUGUCAUGCUAAAACAGUCACUUUGGCUAUGCCGGGUGUUCCGAGAAUCGAGUGGCGAGGUGUGAUUGACUAUAUUCCUAGUAGAUUUAUUUCUUUCUUGAAGGCUCAGCGUAUGGUUGGAAGGGUUGCCUUUCAUAUUUGGCAUUUGUGAGAGAUGUUGGAGCUGAGACUCCUAGCAUUGGUUUUGUUCCCGUUGUGAGAGAUUUUCCUGAUGUAUUUCCUGCAGUCCUGCCGGGCAUGCCACCGGACAAGGAUAUUGAUUCUGGUAUUGACCUAGUGCCUGGCACUCAGCCCAUUUCCAUUCCAUUGUAUCGCAUGUCACCAGUGGAAUUGAAAGAAUUGAAUGACCAGCUUCAGGAACUCCUAGAAAAGGGGUUUAUUCGGCCAAGUGUGUAACCGUGGAGUGCACCUGUUCUAUUUGUGAAGAAAAAGAAUAGCACAAUGAGAAUGUGCAUUGAAUAUAAGCAAUUGAACAAAGUAACAGUGAAGAACAAGUAUCCCAUGCCUCCUAUUGAUGAUUAUUUGACAAGCUUCAGGGAGCGAGGGUGUUCUCCAAGAUUGAUCUGCGUUCGGGUUAUCACCAGUUGAAGAUCAAGGAGUCGUAUAUUCAUAAGACAGCUUUCACGACUAGAUAUGGUCACUAUGAGUUUCUUGUUAUGUCUUUCAGGCUGACUAAUGCCCCAACAGUGUUCAUGCAUUUGAUGAACAGUGUAUUUCGGCCUUAUCUAGAUUCUUUUGUUAUUGUGUUCAUUGAUGAUAUUCUGGUGUACUUGCGUAGCUAGGAGGAACACACAGAGCAUUUGCGAGUCGUAUUGCAGAGAUUAAGGGAGGAGAAUCUUUACGCAAAGUUCUCCAAGUGUGAUUUUUGGCUCGAUUUUAUGGCUUUUCUGGGGCACGUGGUGUCUAGCGAUGGUAUUCAGGUUGAUCCAAAGAAGAUAGAGGCAGUUCAGAGUUGGCCUAGACUGUCCUCAGGCACAGAGAUUCGUAGUUUCCUUGAUUUGGUGGGUUAUUAUCAUUGGUUCAUUCAUGGUGUUUCAUCUAUUGCCUCGCCCUUGUUCAAGUCGACGCAGAAGGCUGCUCUAUUUGUAUGGUCGGACGAGUGCGAGGAGAGCUUUCAGAAGCUCAAGACAGCUUUGACCACAACUCUAGUGUUAGCUAUGCCAUCAACUUUAGGUUCUUAUAGCGUUUAUUGUGAUGCUUCGAGAGUCGGAAUUGGGUGUGUGUUGAUGCAAGAGGGUAGAGUGAUUUCUUAUGCUUCUCGUCAGUUGAAACACCACGAGAAGAACUACCAUGUUCGUGACUUAGAGUUGGCUGCUAUAGUUCAUGCUUUGAAGAUUUGGAGGCACUACUUAUAUGGCAUUAUGCUUCUCGUUAGCUGAAGCCCUAUGAGAAGAACUACCAUGUUCAUGAUUUGGAGUUGGCUGCAAUAGUUCAUGCGUUGAAUAUUUGGAGGCACUAUUUAUAUGGUGUAUACUGUGAGGUAUUCACCUAUCACCGCAGUCUUCAGCAUUUGUUCAAGCAAAAGGAUCUCAAUUUGAGGCAGCGGAGGAGGCUUGAAUUGCUAAAAGAUUAUGAUAUUACCAUUUUGUAUCAUCUGGCAAAAAACCAAUGUAGUGGCCGAUGCUUUGAGCCGAAAGGCAGUCAGUAUGGGGAGUUUGGCAUACAUUCCAGUUAAGGAGAGGCCCUUUGCAGUUGAUGUUCAAGCUUUGGCCAAUCGGUUUGUGAGAUUAGACAUUUCGGAGCCCAGUCGGGUAUUGGCUUG